rnacentral:rRNA from 1 species
UAAGGAAUAUUGGACAAUGGAGGCAACUCUGAUCCAGCCAUGCCGCAUGAAGGAAUAAGGCCCUAUGGGUUGUAAACUUCUUUUAGACGGGACAAAACCCCUUUACGUGUAAGGGGUUGAUGGUACUGUCAGAAUAAGCAUCGGCUAACUUCGUGCCAGCAGCCGCGGUAAUACGAAGGAUGCAAGCGUUAUCCGGAAUUAUUGGGUUUAAAGGGUGCGUAGGCGGACUAAUAAGUCAGUGGUGAAAGCCUGCAGCUUAACUGCAGAAUUGCCAUUGAUACUGUUAGUCUUGAGUACAGUGGAGGUAGGCGGAAUGUGUCAUGUAGCGGUGAAAUGCUUAGAUAUGACACAGAACACCGAUUGCGAAGGCAGCUUGCUAAGCUGUAACUGACGCUGAGGCACGAAAGCGUGGGGAGCAAACA